GGAGUGGAUGGCUCUACACCAGCUAACAGGACGUAUCAAGAACGAAAGGCUGCUACGAUUCUUGGCGGAGCCAAAGCGCUUCUUCUUAAGCAGAAUCGUGUGCAGGUCUCCUACAGGAAACGCAGAAAAAAACCUAAAAACUGAAAAUGGAAACCUCCUUUAUCAGAACAGAACCAACAGGGAAAAAUAGAGUAGUGGCGAACGAAAAUUUUUAUUUUAUCUUUUUCUAAAUAAACAACAGUGUUUGUUUUUUUGUAUGCAAUAGAAUUCGGCGCAGAGCAGAAUCGCGAUUCUUCUUGGCUUGGCUUUGCGAUUCUGCGCGCUUCGCUUCUGGCCUCGCGAUUCUGCGCAGCGGAGCAAGGCAAUGCGCCAUGCUCGCGCAGAAGCGCGAAGAAGCGCGCUUCUGGCUGGCUUCGCGAUUCUUCUGGGCGCUUCUUGCUCCGCCACGAUUCUGCCGCAUUGCGCAGAGACGCCAGAAGAAGCGCGCUCGCUUCGCGUAGGCAACGCGCAGAACAAAGAAGCGAGGCGCAGAAGAAGAAGAAGCGCGAAUCGUCGCAAGCCUAGAACAGAGCAGAAUCCCUGGAAAAAGAAACCAAAGAGGGUAAAAGUCCCGUAUAUUGUAACACCAGAUUCGAAUGAAAAAACCAGAGAAAGAAGCGAAUGGGGGGUACCACCCUCCAAAAGCAAAGAAAAGAGGCGCUGUGUGAUAGAUAGUGAACCAGUAUCGUGAGAGAAAGUAUGAAAAGUGGACCACAGCUGUCCGGUGAAAUAGUUUCUGAAACUCCGAUUUUCUAUACAGCAGUU
rnacentral:rRNA from 1 species